rnacentral:lncRNA from 1 species
AAACAGUCUGAAAGUAUAGACAUUAGAAGAUGCUGAAAUCCCUAGAAAUUAAACUUAAGUGGUGCAUCAUGACUCAGAGUCGAGGCUGGUACACAGUCACCUCUUCUAGCAGCUUUCUUGGCAGAAGUCGCACAACAGAUCUC